UACGUAGGGGGCAAGCGUUGUCCGGAAUUUAUUGGGCGUAAAGAGCGUGUAGGCGGUCCGGUAAGUCGGCUGUGAAAGUCCAGGGCUCAACCCUGGGAUGCCGGUCGAUACUGCCGGACUAGAGUUCGGAAGAGGCGAGUGGAAUUCCCGGUGUAGCGGGUGAAAUGCGUAGAGAUCGGGAGGAACAUCAGUUGCGAAGGCGGCUCUCUGGACCAGCACUGACACUGAGGCACGAAAGCGUGGGGAGCAAACAGG
rnacentral:rRNA from 1 species